UACGUAGGGUGCAAGCGUUGUCCGGAAUUAUUGGGCGUAAAGAGCUCGUAGGCGGUCUGUCGCGUCUGCUGUGAAAACUCAGGGCUUAACCCUGAGCUUGCAGUGGGUACGGGCAGACUAGAGUGCGGUAGGGGAGACUGGGAUUCCUGGUGUAGCGGUGAAAUGCGCAGAUAUCAGGAGGAACACCGGUGGCGAAGGCGGGUCUCUGGGCCGUAACUGACGCUGAGGAGCGAAAGCGUGGGGAGCAAACAGG
rnacentral:rRNA from 1 species